CCUACGGGCGGCAGCAGUGGGGAAUAUUGGGCAAUGGGCGCAAGCCUGACCCAGCAACGCCGCGUGAAGGAAGAAGGCUUUCGGGUUGUAAACUUCUUUUCUCAGGGACGAAGCAAGUGACGGUACCUGAGGAAUAAGCCACGGCUAACUACGUGCCAGCAGCCGCGGUAAUACGUAGGUGGCAAGCGUUAUCCGGAUUUACUGGGUGUACAGGGCGUGUAGGCGGGAAAGCAAGUCAGAUGUGAAAACCAUGGGCUCAACCUGUGGCCUGCCUUUGAAACUGUUUUUCUUGAGUACAGGAGAGGCAGACGGAAUGCCUAGUGUAGCGGUGAAAUGCGUAGAUAUUAGGAGGAACACCAGUGGCGAAGGCGGUCUGCUGGACAGCAACUGACGCUGAGGCGCGAAAGCGUGGGGAGCAAACAGGAUUAGAUACCCCAGUAGUC
rnacentral:rRNA from 1 species